AAUUGAGACCUAGACAACCAGGUGAGGGGAGUUCCUUACUGAGACCUAGACAACCAGGUGAGGGGAGUUCCUUACUGAGACCUGGACAACCAGGUGAGGAGAGUUCCUUACUGAGACCUAGACAACCAGGUGAGGGGAGUUCCUUACUGAGACCUGGACAACCAGGUGAGGGGAGUUCCUUACUGAGACCUGGACAACCAGGUGAGGAGAGUUCCUUACUGAGACCUAGACAACCAGGUGAGGAGAGUUCCUUACUGAGACCUAGACAACCAGGUGAGGGGAGUUCCUUACUGAGACCUGGACAACCAGGUGAGGAGAGUUCCUUACUGAGACCUGGACAACCAGGUGAGGGGAGUUCCUUACUGAGACCUAGACAACCAGGUGAGGGGAGUUCCUUACUGAGACCUAGACAACCAGGUGAGGGGAGUUCCUUACUGAGACCUAGAC
rnacentral:lncRNA from 1 species